CGCCCAAGUUGCAUUUGUUCAUUCUGGCUUUUUGAUGGGUUGGUGCAGUUAGAGCAGAAACAGGAUCCAGACCCAGAGAGAAGCAGCAGCAAGUAGCUACAUGGGAGAGAAGUGCCUUCAGAGCCCCUGAAUAUAUUUGGUGUUAGAAAGCUGCAUCGGCUGAACUAAGGAGUUCCCACAGUUCAUGCUGCUUGCUCCCAGGAGACCCUUCCUGCAAUGUCAGGCCAUUACUCCUUGCUCUUUCAAGUGCCUGCUCAAAGCUUACUUCUUCUGCAACACCACUGAUAAAAAUAUCAGCCACAAUGACAUUUUAUUAGCUAAUAAAGGUACUUCAGACUUCUUUAUUCUAUCAUUCCAGACAUCAUUAUAUUAUUGGCACCCCAGUGUACUUACUGGUAUAACUGCUACUCAUUCUUUUCUAUACACUUUCAUAUUGUCUUGUUAUGAUUCUGUUAUACUGUGUUUGGUUAGGCCUAUUUUUAAGCCUUGCACGUAGAUCAUUUUUAGGAACCUUGCAACAAGCUUCAGUACGGCAAUAAGCAUUCUGAGGUUACUGGUAUAAAAUAAAAUAUGCUAUUGAUAAUCUGAGUUUUGUGGCUGGCACCAUCUCUACUCUACCUCAGAUAAAUAGAAUCCAUGUGCCCCAGAGACAUGUAUUGACUAUCACAAACUUAAAUGGAGAUGGCUCUACAACUGUGACAACAGGAAAUGAGAAAAGGGAAUCCCUAUCAAUAUUGUGAUAUACCGUGAGAAAUGCAACAGGUCUUUACACGCCAGACAGGUGAAAAGGUAGGUAAAAAGUGCAAUUGGCCUCAAUGGUUUCCUUUUUCCUGAAAUGCCUUUCAGCUGUACUGUGUAGCACAAUGUUUGUGGAGAAGGUUUAUAUACUGUGACAAAUUCUGGUUACCGCCUUAAGGGUGCUCAUCUCUCAUGGAAACUCAUUUCACAUCUCAUCAGUUACAGCAAUGAGUUGGGGAAACUGAUUUCUUGUUUUUCUGAGGUAAGAACAUGAUGGGUGGAUGGCAAAGACUCAGUCCUAGCAGAAUAAAGAAUUGAAAUGAGAUCAUUAAGCGGAUUUUUUUUUAACCUCAAUUGGCUGACCCUAUUCCAUCUUCAAUUUUAGAAUACCUAUCUCUUUCCAGAACAACAAGCAAUUGGUGCAGUGGCAACUGAGCUUCAUUUUAAAUACACCGUAGCAAGUUAGAUGAAAGCAGACAUAGUCAUUUGAUUGAAGUAUGCUGUAUUCAUUUUCAUUAAAGCAUAUCACUUUGUUUACCCUUU